rnacentral:rRNA from 1 species
UACGUAGGGUGCAAGCGUUAAUCGGAAUUACUGGGCGUAAAGCGUGCGCAGGCGGUGAUGUAAGACAGAUGUGAAAUCCCCGGGCUCAACCUGGGAACUGCAUUUGUGACUGCAUCGCUGGAGUGCGGCAGAGGGGGAUGGAAUUCCGCGUGUAGCAGUGAAAUGCGUAGAUAUGCGGAGGAACACCGAUGGCGAAGGCAAUCCCCUGGGCCUGCACUGACGCUCAUGCACGAAAGCGUGGGAAGCAAACAGG